rnacentral:antisense_RNA from 1 species
GAUCUGCCCAGGCUUGGAAGGGCUGCCAACUUCACAGCUAUUGGACAGACCACGAUCCAGUCGGCUGACAACCCCUUCAGACACACCCUAGGCCCUCACCAGGCUCUGGCGGUGAGUUCUGGCACCUACAUGCUUGUGCGCCACGGGGGGACACACGGAGUCUGCACCCGGGAGCAGCUGCCCGCAGGAGGCACACAAGCCACACGUGGAGCCCACUGAUUAGCCAGAAGGGACUGUUUAUU